rnacentral:rRNA from 1 species
ACGGGGUGCAGCAGGCGCGAAAACCUUCACAAUGCGCGCAAGCGUGAUGAGGGAAUCCCAAGUGCCCUUGUACAGCAAGGGCUUUUGUAGAAUGUAAAUAGUUUUACGAAUAAGGGCUGGUCAAGACCAGUGCCAGCCUCCGCGGUAACACUGGCAGCUCAAGUGGUGGUCGGUUUUAUUGGGCUUAAAGCAUCCGUAGCCGGUUUAGUAAGUCUUCUGUGAAAUCCUACCGCCUAACGGUAGGGCUUGCAGAGGAUACUGCUAGGCUAGGAGCCGAGAUGGGUUAGGGGUAUUCCAGGGGUAGCGGUGAAAUGCGAUAAUCCUUGGAAGACCAUCAAUGGCGAAGGCACCUAACUAGAACGGGCUCGACGGUGAGGGAUGAAAGCUAGGGGAGCAAACCGGAUUAGAUACCCGGGUAGUCCUAGCCGUAAACGAUGCGGACUGAGCGUUUCUUGGAAUUUAUUUUCAAGAAGUGUUGAAGGGAAACCGUUAAGUCCGCCGCCUGGGAGUACGUCGCAAGAC